AGGCAUUCAGGCAGCGAGCGCAG
rnacentral:piRNA from 1 species